UACGGAGGGUGCAAGCGUUGUCCGGAAUCACUGGGCGUAAAGGGCGCGUAGGCGGCCUGGUAAGUAGGGGGUGAAAUCCUGCGGCUUAACCGCAGGGCUGCCUUCUAAACGGUCAGGCUUGAGCACGGUAGAGGCAGAUGGAAUUCCCGGUGUAGCGGUGGAAUGCGUAGAGAUCGGGAAGAACAUCAGUGGCGAAGGCGGUCUGCUGGGCCGUUGCUGACGCUGAGGCGCGACAGCGUGGGGAGCAAACAGG
rnacentral:rRNA from 1 species